GUGGUAGUGGUGGUGGUGGUGGUGGUGGUAGUGGUGGUGUGUUUUGUGAAUGCAGUGAUUAGAAAUGAAACCCGUCUCGGUGCUGUUAUUGGAAGGGGAGCCCCAUCUCUCUCUCGGGCGGUUUGUGUGAUUUUGCUAAAAUGCAUCACCAACAGCGAAUGGCUGCCUUAGGGACGGACAAAGAGCUGAGUGAUUUACUGGAUUUCAGUGCGAUGUUUUCACCUCCUGUGAGCAGUGGGAAAAAUGGACCAACUUCUUUGGCAAGUGGACAUUUUACUGGCUCAAAUGUAGAAGACAGAACUAGCUCAGGGUCCUGGGGGAAUGGAGGACAUCCAAGUCCAUCCAGGAACUAUGGAGAUGGGACCCACUAUGAACAUAUGACUAGCAGGGACCUUGGAUCACAUGACAAUCUUUCUCCUCCUUUUGUCAAUUCCAGAAUACAAAAUGCAAUAUUCAAAUAUUGAAGUAGAGCUGGGUGUUCCUUGCAGUGAUGUAUAUUGCAUUUCAUCCAUGCCUAUCGAUUGCAACCCAUAUGCUCAUCUUCCUACAAGUUGAAAUGUAAAACAGAAAGGGGUUCAUACUCGUCUUAU